UAACACAUGCAAGUCGAGCGCGCCUUUCGGGGUGAGCGGCGGACGGGUUAGUAACGCGUGGGAAUAUGCCCUUUGGUACGGAAUAGCCUCUGGAAACGGAGAGUAAUACCGUAUGAGCCCUUCGGGGGAAAGAUUUAUCGCCAAAGGAUUAGCCCGCGUUAGAUUAGGUAGUUGGUGGGGUAAUGGCCUACCAAGCCUACGAUCUAUAGCUGGUUUUAGAGGAUGAUCAGCAACACUGGGACUGAGACACGGCCCAGACUCCUACGGGAGGCAGCAGUGGGGAAUCUUGGACAAUGGGGGCAACCCUGAUCCAGCCAUGCCGCGUGAGUGAUGAAGGCCUUAGGGUCGUAAAGCUCUUUCGCCUGUGAAGAUAAUGACGGUAGCAGGUAAAGAAACCCCGGCUAACUCCGUGCCAGCAGCCGCGGUAAUACGGAGGGGGUUAGCGUUGUUCGGAAUUACUGGGCGUAAAGCGCACGUAGGCGGAUCGGAAAGUUGGGGGUGAAAUCCCGGGGCUCAACCCCGGAACUGCCUCCAAAACUAUCGGUCUAGAGUUCGAGAGAGGUGAGUGGAAUUCCAAGUGUAGAGGUGAAAUUCGUAGAUAUUUGGAGGAACACCAGUGGCGAAGGCGGCUCACUGGCUCGAUACUGACGCUGAGGUGCGAAAGUGUGGGGAGCAAACAGGAUUAGAUACCCUGGUAGUCCACACCGUAAACGAUGAAUGCCANUCGUCGGGUAGCAUGCUAUUCGGNGACACNCCUAACGGAUUAAGCGUUCCGCCGUGGGGAGUACGG
rnacentral:rRNA from 2 species